UUCCGGUUGAUCCCGCCGGACCUGACUGCUAUCGGAUUGAUACUAAGCCAUGCGGGUCAUUGUAGCAAUACAAGGCAGACGGCUCAGUAACGCGUAGUCAAUCUACCCUAUGGACGGGAAUAACCUCGGGAAACUGAGAAUAAUGCCCGAUAGAACAUUAUGCCUGGAAUGGUUUAUGUUUCAAAUGAUUUAUCGCCAUAGGAUGGGACUGCGGCCUAUCAGUUUGUUGGUGAGGUAAUGGCCCACCAAGACUAUUACAGGUACGGGCUCUGAGAGGAGUAGCCCGGAGAUGGGUACUGAGACACGGACCCAGGCCCUAUGGGGCGCAGCAGGCGAGAAAACUUUGCAAUGUGCGAAAGCACGACAAGGAUAAUCCGAGUGGUUUCUGCUAAAGAAACCUUUUGUCAGUCCUAGAAACACUAACGAAUAAGGGGUGGGCAAGUUCUGGUGUCAGCCGCCGCGGUAAAACCAGCACCUCAAGUGGUCAGGAUGAUUAUUGGGCCUAAAGCAUCCGUAGCUCGUUUUGUAAGUUUUCGGUUAAAUCCAUGCGCUUAACGUAUGGGCUGCCGGGAAUACUGCAUAACUAGGAAGUGGGAGAGGUAGACGGUACUCGGGAGGAAGGGGUAAAAUCCUUUGAUCUCUUGAUGACCACCUGUGGCGAAGGCGGUCUACCAGAACACGUUCGACGGUGAGGGAUGAAAGCUGGGGGAGCAAACCGGAUUAGAUACCCGGGUAGUCCCAGCCGUAAACGAUGCCCGCUUGGUGUUACAGGUCCUUAGUGGAACUGUUGUGCCGUAGUGAAGACGUUAAGCGGGCCACCUGGGGAGUACGUCCGCAAGGAUGAAACUUAAGGGAAUUGGCGGGGGGAGCACUACCAGGGGUGGAGGCUGCGGUUCAAUNGGAUUCACGCC
rnacentral:rRNA from 1 species